AUGAACGCUGGCGGCGUGCCUAAUACAUGCAAGUCGAGCGAACGGACGAGAAGCUUGCUUUUCUGAUGUUAGCGGCGGACGGGUGAGUAACACGUGGAUAACCUACCUAUAAGACUGGGAUAACUUCGGGAAACCGGGGCUAAUACCGGAUAAUAUUUUGAACCGCAUGGUUCAAAAGUGAAAGACGGUCUUGCUGUCACUUAUAGAUGGAUCCGCUCUGCAUUAGCUAGUUGGUAAGGUAACGGCUUACCAAGGCAACGAUGCAUAGCCGACCUGAGAGGGUGAUCGGCCACACUGGAACGGAGACACGGUCCAGACUCCUACGGGAGGCAGCAGUAGGGAAUCUUCCGCAAUGGGCGAAAGCCUGACGGAGCAACGCCGCGUGAGUGAUGAAGGUCUUCGGAUCGUAAAACUCUGUUAUUAGGGAAGAACAUAUGUGUAAGUAACUGUGCACAUCUUGACGGUACCUAAUCAGAAAGCCACGGCUAACUACGUG
rnacentral:rRNA from 1 species